rnacentral:rRNA from 1 species
UACGGGGGGUGCAAGCGUUACUCGGAAUCACUGGGCGUAAAGGGAGCGUAGGCGUUCUAUUAAGUCUUGAGUGAAAGCCCGCAGCCUAACUGCGGAACUGCUCAGGAAACUGAUAGAAUUGAGUAUGGAAGAGGUAGGUGGAAUUUCCAGUGUAGGGGUAAAAUCCGUAGAUAUUGGAAGGAAUACCAGAAGCGAAGGCGACCUACUGGGACAUUACUGACGCUGAGGCUCGAAAGCGUGGGGAGCAAACGGG